CCUCUUUCCAGAAGUGGUGGCGGCGGCCGCGGUCUUCCGCCGGGGUUGAAUCCGUUGAUAAUCUCAGUCGUGCUUGGCCAUCCGUCCCUGUGGCCGCCUCGGGAAUAUUUCAGCGCCUGCAAGGAAGACAUUUCCACAAAAUCUUACCGAAGAUGGAGGGUCUGUUCUCGAGGUGUCUCCUUGGGGAGAGCAGCUGGGUGUCUUUAUGGAAAGCCGGCACCAUCCGGGUCUGGACACCAGAUCUCUUGAUGCCUCGUCGGUUCAGAACUUGAGUGCUGCAAGGUCUCAGGUGAGCUGCAGCAUCACAAGAUGGACUGAAGAAAUUCUAGAAUGCCUUAGCAUAGAAACAAAAUUGAAAAUGCCCACAGUGAACUUUGUUCGGCAAUAAAAGAAGGGAAGAAGAUCAAUUUCUGUGUUACAGACUUCUUAGUGCCAGUGGAUCAAAGUCCUUGGUUGGGUGCUAACUCAAGAACUAUCAUUUUUCCUUACGGGAUUGAAGAUUCUGGCAAGAGUUGUGGGGUGAAAACCAUUGUUUUUCCCCACUUUGGGAAUGGAUGUCAUUGAAUACGGGAAGGAAAACCUCUCUUCCUUGUUGACCCUUGUAAAGAAAUUACGCUAGAAAACAAGAAUUGGCCAUGACGUUUUUGAAUAAUGCAGUGUAUCCACUAGGAAUGAGUAAACUGUCCUGCAUACUCACUCACUAGGCUAGAAGCAAUGAGGGUAAAAAAUUAAUUAUACAUUUUCAACAAAUUUCUUGUCUGAAUUAAAUGUAGUUCAGUGUUGUCCCAAUUGACAAAUACACAACUCUGCGUUUGCAAUCUUAUGCACAUUUACACAGGAAUAAGCUGAGCUGAACCCAGUGGGAUUUGCUUUAUAAGUAGAUGCACUGGAUAUUCAUAACUUUGCAUAAAAUAAAAUAUUAUACAGUA